rnacentral:rRNA from 1 species
UACGUAGGGGGCAAGCGUUGUCCGGAAUCAUUGGGCGUAAAGCGCGUGUAGGCGGCUCAGUAAGUCCGCUCUGAAAGCCCGGGGCUUAACCCCGGGAGGCGGGUGGAUACUGCUGAGCUUGAGUCCGGAAGAGGCGAGUGGAAUUCCCGGCGUAGCGGUGAAAUGCGCAGAUAUCGGGAGGAACACCAAUGGCGAAGGCAGCUCGCUGGGACGUGACUGACGCUGAGACGCGAAAGCGUGGGGAGCAAACAGG